rnacentral:lncRNA from 1 species
CACAUAUGAGAGAAAAGGUUCCCGACUCCUAAAGACAAAGGAUUUAAACCAGUGUUCCCUCCGACGGCACAGAUUUACUUUUUUUCAGUCAGAGGUUCUUCCAGGAAUGCCCUCCUCGCGACCAAUCUUGGCUUCAAAGCUGGAAUGCUACCAGAGUUUCCAGGAAGGUCUGCUAGAGGACACAGCCUGCACAGAGUUUGACGUAGUCAGACCCUUUUCUGAGGAGGGGAAUGGUGUGCAGACAAGGACACAUUCCACCCUGAGUCUGCUGCAUGUGAAGCCCCAAGCCCUGUCCAACAAAGCAGAUUAUGGAAAAUUUUAUGUGAGCAGUCUGCUGUAUGAGUGGGAGGGCCUGGGCCCCCAGUCCCAGGUAGCUGAUGUAGCUGAAUCUGUGAGGAAGUUGUGCCUUGCUCAGGCCAC